CCGGUAUAAAUACAGAUGUAAUAAGACAAUAAACACAGAACCUGGCUGGAGAACCUCACUAUACUGAUCAACUGAACGCUGUCUCUAUUUGAUUGGUCUUGGUCCUCAUACCUCCAGGAAGAAACAGGAUCUCGAUAAGCUCUAUGAGCUGAAGUCCAAAGCUUGGCAGAUUAUGAAUCAGUUUGGUCCCUCAGCCCUCGUCAACCUGUCCAAUUUCUCAUCCAUAAAACCGGAACCAGCCAGCACCCCUCCACAAGGCUCCAUGGCCAAUAGCACUACAGUGGUAAAGAUACCAGGCACGCCUGGGUCUGGAGGGCGUCUCAGCCCUGAAAACAAUCAGGUGUUGACCAAGAAGAAAUUACAAGACUUAGUAAGAGAAGUGGCUCCGAAUGAGCAAUUGGAUGAAGUUGUAGAGGAGAUGCUGCUGCAGACUGCUGAUGAUUUUAUUGAGAGUGUAGUGACAGCAGCCUGCCAGCUUGCUCGGCAUCGCAAGUCCAGCACCCUGGAGGUGAAGGACGUCCAGCUGCACCUAGAGCGCCAGUGGAACAUGCAGAUCCCAGAAUUUGUCUCUGAAGAAAUCCGACCCUACAAAAAAGCUUGCACCACAGAGGCUCACAAACAGAGAAUGGCAUUGAUCCGGAAAACAACCAAGAAAUAACACAUGGAAAGAUCAGGGAAUGCACAACAUUGUAUUUGGAGAUACUUGAGCUGAGACCUCAGCCAUCUCAUCUUUGGAUUUUAUUUUAAUUAAA